rnacentral:lncRNA from 1 species
CGUGUAUUGAGCCAUUUUAUUGCUUAAAGUUCAGUAGAAAAUAUAUAUAUACAUACUCAAUCUAACCAUACUAUUUGACCUACUGCGAGUUGGUCAGUCUUUACUGUUACUCCGAAAAUAUGGGUGCUGGGAAAACCAGCAAGUAAAAUGGUCAUUAUCAGAGCCGUGCGUCUUGUUUUAAAAUGAAUUCUCUUCUUUUGAGAAAU